UACGUAGGUUGCAAGCGUUGUCCGGAAUUAUUGGGCGUAAAGAGCUCGUAGGCGGUUUGUCGCGUCUGCUGUGAAAACUCGGGGCUUAACCCCGGGCCUGCAGUGGGUACGGGCAGACUAGAGUGCGGUAGGGGAGACUGGAAUUCCUGGUGUAGCGGUGAAAUGCGCAGAUAUCAGGAGGAACACCGGUGGCGAAGGCGGGUCUCUGGGCCGUAACUGACGCUGAGGAGCGAAAGCGUGGGGAGCGAACAGG
rnacentral:rRNA from 1 species